GCGGAUGUGGUGAAAUGGCAUACACACUAGCUUCAGGAGCUAGUGCCCGCAAGGGCGUGUGGGUUCAAGUCCCACCAUCCGCA
rnacentral:tRNA from 1 species